rnacentral:rRNA from 1 species
UGAGCAAUCUGCCCUUCUCUUUGGAAUAAGCGUUGGAAACGACGUCUAAUGCCGAAUACGACCUCCUUUCGCAUGAUCGGAGGUGGAAAGCUCCGGCGGAGAAGGAUGAGCUCGCGGCCUAUCAGCUUGUUGGCGGGGUAAUGGCCCACAAGGCAACGGACGGGUAGCCGGCCUGAGAGGGUGACCGGCCACACGUGGGACUGGAGACACGGCCCAGACCUCCGUACGGGAGCAGCAGG